CAGGAUGCAAUGAUCAGUCAUUACUCCUGAACUCAAUAGCAGCAGUGGCUGGAAAUAAUUCUUGACUUCCCUUGCCUGGUGACUGUACCCUCUCUGAAUAGCCUUGCAAUUGCAACUACUGAUACCUUUUAUUCUCUUUCAUUGAUUCCUUUACUCCAGAGGUGGACUUGAAGAAAUUAUAUGAACCCCAAAUAGCUAAUACUGAGAAGACUGCCAACAUUUUGGGAGAUUAAAACAACCUAUACUCAUUCCUUGGAAGCAUCAUGAGGACAACAAAAAGGUCAGUGACUUCAUUGCUAAACAGAGCAUGCAAGUAAGGAGUGUGGCAUGCACGUGAAGAGGAGCUGUAUGCUUCACAAUGAGAGGCACCUUCGAUAUAAAUCAUGGAAGCUUGCUUCACAUCUGCCACAUUUAUUUUUCUGAUUCAGUCUCUGCUUCAACCUCUGUGCCGUCUUUAGGCUUGCCAGCACCUCUCCCCCAACUACCUGUCAGCCCAAAUCUUCCACAACCUCAGGAUUCCCAUCACUGCAGCUGGCCCUGCAGCAUCUUGCAGAGGGGAGACUGUGUUUUGCAGCGAACUGCCUUUUGAGCAGGACUUCUGAGAUGGUGAAACCUCACUCAGCCUCACAUAGCUUGCUAGGCAGUUGGGGGUUGGCUGGGGUGAGCAGUGGCAACAGGGCAUAUCUUUCCUAGAAUUAAAUGUAAAUUAGACCAUAUUAAUGAGUGCAUUUUAAAGCACCACAGGGACCAGGAAUAAUAUGCUUCUUACUGGCAUUAGUGUAUUUAUAGAGAAAGCCACCCAGCAAAUAGGUGUUUUAGUUUCCUCAAUUGUCUGUAGGGUUAAAAUGCCUCUACUAAUUCUUUCUAACAACAUUCCUUUAAAUACUAAUCAACAUAAAGCCUGAAGCUAUUGACCCUUGUUGCAACACAACACAUUAACAUGCAAGGGAAACCUUCUCUGCCCAUUUCUGAAAGGGGCAAAGCAGCUCUGGGCCAAGCAUUUGGCCCUGCAGAAUCAUUAUUCCAUUUGCAAGCUUAACAAAGCGCUGCAUUAGAUUUCAGGAACUAUUGAUUGCUCUCUAGGUGGUUAUGCAAAAUCAAUUGUGGGGUUUUGUUUUAGGGAAGAGAGUAGGAGAGGAAAAAGGUUUUGACAGGAAACAUGCCAGGAUUUAAAAGAAGAAGCAUGUGGUUGAGAGGCAUAGGAAUGUCAUGGGGUCACAAUUUCAAAGGUUGAAGCUCCAUCCAGGCAAGUCCUAUCUGUUGCUCUAAUAUCUCAUCGCAGGUUUCUUGAGGCUGUCUUGAAGGGUUUCCUGGCUUUGUUCACUUCCUUUUCAUUGCACAGAGAGCUCUCUAUGGUUUGCAAUUUACUAUAUUUUAACAAAUAAAUUAAGUCACUAGGGAGAAGGGGAAAGAGGAUAUCUGUGCAUAUAUUUUGAGGUAUAUCAUACUUAAAAGGUUGCCUACAGAAGGGAAUAAAUAGGAAGGUUAUUUGGAUGAGGAUUUCAGUCUUUCCAGUUUCCAUGUGCAUAAGCAUACAAAACAUUUCGGUGCUUAAAUAAUUUGUUGAAAAUGGGCUACACUGAUUCACUUCUUACAGAAUCAAAGCUAUAAAGCAUCCCACAUCAUCUGCUUUACCUACAACAUUUACUACCAUUGGGUAAAACAAAAUUAAGCCCAUGGAUACACUUCAGCCCAUACUGAUGGAAAAUAUAAGCCAUUUAGGACUGAAAUAGCAGUUAAUGUUGAUUACCUCCCAGUGACCAUAACGAAACUUGUAAAAAUUAUACACCUUGGAAGAGUCAUCAAAGAUAUUUAGGAAAAGGCACUGUAAAUGAAGGAUGUACCUUCUCAUCUAUUGCUGGACUGUUCAGAGAGUUUGUAGUAUCACUUCCAUUCUGUACGUAGCCAUAUGUAUAAAAAUGAGUUUGUUUUUCCAGGCUGUCAGGGAAAAGCCUCUUGGAGAGCACUAAAUUCACACACAA